rnacentral:lncRNA from 1 species
CAAGAAGUGCUAGAAAAAUUCAGGCAAGCGAGGCAAUUCAUGUUAAUGACGCUUGCUUUCUUCUUUCCUGUGUGGGGUGCCGCACCUAGACCAGCUGACCUCAGGCGGCGGGUCAGCUCCCGGCCCCGCCCACCUCUGCACAUGCGCAUGGAGGCCCUCUACGGCCACGCCACUGCUGCUGACCCAUGCUCCUGCUGCUGCUCUGCUAUUUAGAGCUCUCCCUGGCUCUCACCUGAUCUUCAAUGAUACGGGAAGAUUAAGUACCAGGAUCGGAAAAGAUAUGGGAGAGAACUGGUUGGAGCACACUCGAGUUCAGUAGAUGUGGAAACACGUGCCCUCAGGUACCUGCUGCAGAUUCUCUAAACAUUUCUAAAUUUCUUCCUCCUCUGAAGGUCUGUCUUGACAGAACGGAUUAUGGUUUCAGGUUUUUGUUUUGCCUGUUGUGUACAGUGAGUUCUUUGAGCUGCAGCAACAGUCACAAGAGGUGACCUUAUUAUAGCGCUAGAGCUUGCUCUUGCCCAGCAGGUCUAAUUACUUACCAAAGGAAUUGCUGGAACACGUUUUAUUGUGUCAAAACGACUUAUUGUUCUUUUUUAAAAUUAUUAUUAAAUUUAAAAUUGGAGUAUAGUUGAUUUACAGUGUUGUGUUAAUUUCUAAUGUACAGCAAAGUGAUUCAAUUAUAUAUAUACAUUCUUUUAAAAAAUAUUCUUUUCCAUUAUGAUUUAUUGCAGGAUACCAAAUAUAAUUCCCUGUGCUGUAUACAGCAGGAAGAGUUGUUUUCCAUCCUAAAUGUAAUAGUUUGCAUUUGCUAAGCCCAGCCUCCCUCUCCUACUCUCCUUUUGGCAACCACAAGUCAGUUCUCUAUGUCUGUGGGUCUGUUUCUGUUUCAUAGAUAGGUUCAUUUGUGUCCUAUUUUAGAUUCCACACGGAAGUGAUAGCAUUUGGUAGGUGUCUUUCCGACUUCACUUCCUUUAAUAAUCUCUAGUUGCAUCCAUGUUGCUGCAAAUGGCAUUAUUCAUUGUUUUUUUUAAUGGCUGAGUAGUAUUCCACUGUAUAUAUGUACCUCAUCUUGUUUAUCCAUUCAUUUGCCAAUGGACAGUUAGGUUGUUUCCAUGUUUUGGCUAUUGUGGAUAGUGCUGCUUUGAGCAUAGGGCUGCAUGUACCUUUUUGAAUUAGUUUUGUUUGGAUAUAUGCCCAGGAGUGAAAUUGCUGGAUCAUAUGAUAAUUCUAUUUG